rnacentral:tRNA from 1 species
UGUUCUGUGGCUUAGUUGGUUUAAGCGCAAGACUAGCGAUACGGAGUCAUGGGUUCCAAUCCCGCCAAAACAA